rnacentral:rRNA from 1 species
CGGACCGUGACGCGCCCAGGCGCACCCAGAAACCCUUUGUGAACUUAUACCUUACUGUUGCCUCGGCGCAUGCCGGCCCCCCUGGGGGCCCCUCCUUCUGGAGGAGCAGGCACGCCGGCGGCCAACCUAACUCUUGUUUUUACACUGAAACUCUGAGUACAAAACAUAAAUGAAUCAAAACUUUCAACAACGGAUCUCUUGGUUCUGGCAUCGAUGAAGAACGCAGCGAAAUGCGAUAAGUAAUGUGAAUUGCAGAAUUCAGUGAAUCAUCGAAUCUUUGAACGCACAUUGCGCCCUCUGGUAUUCCGGAGGGCAUGCCUGUUCGAGCGUCAUUUCAACCCUCAAGCCUGGCUUGGUGAUGGGGCACUGCCUGUAAAAGGGCAGGCCCUGAAAUUCAGUGGCGAGCUCGCCAGGACCCCGAGCGCAGUAGUUAAACCCUCGCUUUGGAAGGCCCUGGCGGUGCCCUGCCGUUAAACCCCCAACUUUUGAAAAUUUGACCUCGGAUCAGGUAGGAAUACCCGCUGAACUUAAGCAUAUCAAUAAGGCGGAGGAA